AGGGAAAACUGGAUCUAAGGAAUACAGAGGCAGGCAACAACAGAAGAAAAGGAGCACACAGCACAGGGUCUCAUUCUGUUGCCCAGGCUGGAGUGCAGUACAGUGAUGUGAUCACAGCUCAGUGAAGGCUCGACCUCCCCGACUCAACAGAUCCUCCCACUUCAGCCUCAAAAGUGGCCUAGGACAAACUUCUAGAAGUGGAAUUGCUUGGCAUAAACUUCUGUACAUUGUAAAAUGCUUCCUGUGUACUCUCCAAAAU